rnacentral:tRNA from 3 species
GCCCCCGUAGCUCAGCUGGAUAGAGCAACGGACUUCUAAUCCGUAGGUCGCAGGUUCGACUCCUGCCGGGGGCG